rnacentral:rRNA from 1 species
UUUUAUGAGAGUUUGAUCCUGGCUCAGGACGAACGCUGGCGGCGUGCCUAAUACAUGCAAGUCGUACGCUUCUUUUUCCACCGGAGCUUGCUCCACCGGAAAAAGAAGAGUGGCGAACGGGUGAGUAA